AUGCAAGUCGUACGCUUCUUUUUCCACCGGAGCUUGCUCCACCGGAAAAAGAAGAGUGGCGAACGGGUGAGUAACACGUGGGUAACCUGCCCAUCAGAAGGGGAUAACACUUGGAAACAGGUGCUAAUACCGUAUAACAAUCGAAACCGCAUGGUUUUGAUUUGAAAGGCGCUUUCGGGUGUCGCUGAUGGAUGGACCCGCGGUGCAUUAGCUAGUUGGUGAGGUAACGGCUCACCAAGGCCACGAUGCAUAGCCGACCUGAGAGGGUGAUCGGCCACAUUGGGACUGAGACACGGCCCAAACUCCUACGGGAGGCAGCAGUAGGGAAUCUUCGGCAAUGGACGAAAGUCUGACCGAGCAACGCCGCGUGAGUGAAGAAGGUUUUCGGAUCGUAAAACUCUGUUGUUAGAGAAGAACAAGGAUGAGAGUAACUGUUCAUCCCUUGACGGUAUCUAACCAGAAAGCCACGGCUAACUACGUGCCAGCAGCCGCGGUAAUACGUAGGUGGCAAGCGUUGUCCGGAUUUAUUGGGCGUAAAGCGAGCGCAGGCGGUUUCUUAAGUCUGAUGUGAAAGCCCCCGGCUCAACCGGGGAGGGUCAUUGGAAACUGGGAGACUUGAGUGCAGAAGAGGAGAGUGGAAUUCCAUGUGUAGCGGUGAAAUGCGUAGAUAUAUGGAGGAACACCAGUGGCGAAGGCGGCUCUCUGGUCUGUAACUGACGCUGAGGCUCGAAAGCGUGGGGAGCAAACAGGAUUAGAUACCCUGGUAGUCCACGCCGUAAACGAUGAGUGCUAAGUGUUGGAGGGUUUCCGCCCUUCAGUGCUGCAGCUAACGCAUUAAGCACUCCGCCUGGGGAGUACGACCGCAAGGUUGAAACUCAAAGGAAUUGACGGGGGCCCGCACAAGCGGUGGAGCAUGUGGUUUAAUUCGAAGCAACGCGAAGAACCUUACCAGGUCUUGACAUCCUUUGACCACUCUAGAGAUAGAGCUUCCCCUUCGGGGGCAAAGUGACAGGUGGUGCAUGGUUGUCGUCAGCUCGUGUCGUGAGAUGUUGGGUUAAGUCCCGCAACGAGCGCAACCCUUAUUGUUAGUUGCCAUCAUUCAGUUGGGCACUCUAGCAAGACUGCCGGUGACAAACCGGAGGAAGGUGGGGAUGACGUCAAAUCAUCAUGCCCCUUAUGACCUGGGCUACACACGUGCUACAAUGGGAAGUACAACGAGUCGCGAAGUCGCGAGGCUAAGCUAAUCUCUUAAAGCUUCUCUCAGUUCGGAUUGUAGGCUGCAACUCGCCUACAUGAAGCCGGAAUCGCUAGUAAUCGCGGAUCAGCACGCCGCGGUGAAUACGUUCCCGGGCCUUGUACACACCGCCCGUCACACCACGAGAGUUUGUAACACCCGAAGUCGGUGAGGUAACCUUUUGGAGCCAGCCGCCUAAGGUGGGAUAGAUGAUUGGGG
rnacentral:rRNA from 1 species